UACGUAGGGUGCGAGCGUUAAUCGGAAUUACUGGGCGUAAAGCGUGCGCAGGCGGUUCGCUAAGACAGAUGUGAAAUCCCCGGGCUUAACCUGGGAACUGCAUUUGUGACUGGCGGGCUAGAGUAUGGCAGAGGGGGGUAGAAUUCCACGUGUAGCAGUGAAAUGCGUAGAUAUGCGGAGGAACACCGAUGGCGAAGGCAAUCCCCUGGGCCUGCACUGACGCUCAUGCACGAAAGCGUGGGAGCAAACAGG
rnacentral:rRNA from 1 species